rnacentral:rRNA from 1 species
CGCCUGCCAGCCCGCUCAGAAACUUAAAGGAAUUGACGGGGCCCGCACAAGCGUGGAGCAUGUGGUUAAUUCGAAGCAACGCGAAGAACCUUACCAGGCCUUGACAUGCAGAGAACUUUCCAGAGAUGGAUUGGUGCCUUCGGGAACUCUGACACAGGUGCUGCAUGGCUGUCGUCAGCUCGUGUCGUGAGAUCGUUGGGUUAAGUCCCGUAACGAGCGCAACCCUUGUCCUUAGUUACCAGCACGUUAUGGUGGGCACUCUAAGGAGACUGCCGGUGACAAACCGGAGGAAGGUGGGGAUGACGUCAAGUCAUCAUGGCCCUUACGGCCUGGGCUACACACGUGCUACAAUGGUCGGUACAAAGGGUUGCCAAGCCGCGAGGUGGAGCUAAUCCCAUAAAACCGAUCGUAGUCCGGAUCGCAGUCUGCAACUCGACUGCGUGAAGUCGGAAUCGCUAGUAAUCGUGAAUCAGAAUGUCACGGUGAAUACGUUCCCGGGCCUU